AUCACUUCUCGGCCUUUUGGCUAAGAUCAAGUGUAGUAUAUAAAUGCUUACAAAUAAGCAUUUAUUAUUUGUUUAUUUAUAACAGCAACAGUGGGGAAGCAAAGGGAAUUGGGGUCAGAAAUAAAGGGGAGCUUUUAUGUUUAACCUGCAUAUUUUUAUACUUUACAAAGUUUGUG
ensembl:snRNA U2 U2 spliceosomal RNA